GACGAACCGAGCAAACGUUAUUCGGAAUCACUGGGCUUAAAGGGUGCGUAGGCGGCGCGGAAGGUUGGGUGUGAAAUCCCUCGGCUUAACCGAGGAACGGCGCCCAAAACUACCGUGCUCGAGGGAGAUAGAGGUGAGCGGAACUUAGGGUGGAGCGGUGAAAUGCGUUGAUAUCCUAAGGAACACCAGUGGCGAAAGCGGCUCACUGGAUCUCUUCUGACGCUGAUGCACGAAAGCUAGGGUAGCGAACGGG
rnacentral:rRNA from 1 species